GAGUUGGAUGGAUGAUUCUUUAAUCUGGCAAUCACAAGUACACCACAGAACUGAUGGAAAGCAUUCUGUUCAAAAGUUCAGUUCUUUGGAGUCAUGAAAAAUGUAAUGAAGCCACCAGUGACUCUGGAUGAAGUGCAACAGUCCAUUGAGAUUUUGAACGGCCUUCCAGCACUCUUCCCAUCAGGAGUUGCACCACCACAGAAACUGGGACAGCCAAGUGAGGCUCUUUCAUAUUCUCAUGCCCUCUGAAAACGCUGCUGAAAAUGCUGUUCUUAGUAGAUGCCGUCUAUCAACCCCCCUGCUUCUAACUGACCAGGAUAACUGCAUGAUCAGUGUUGGGAAGAACCCAGUGACAACAUUCCCUGAAGGCCUGCUGCACCAAGGUGUUUUAUAUGUCAUGGCGUAUACGUGCUGCAAGUCAGGUCCAGGUCCCUUUUUAUUAUUAUUUUUUAAUGUUUAAAGAUGGUAUAUGAAGACCAAGCAAUGUUGUUAAUGUUGUAGACGUAGGGACAUUGUUAUUGGAAAGCCUUGACAUCUAAGAUUGACAUGUUUUAAUAGAAUUCUCAGAAGCGGCCUGAACAUGCUUGUUGUGUA